UUCACUAACUAAUGCACUGCAAGACAGUAAAAGCAGUUGAAAAGGUCAACUCCAUAAUCAAAGUGUCUGUUUUAUAGUGACUAGUUUUUCACACUGGAUAUAAACGCUUCAUGAUUGGCUAUGGUGAAAAGGCAAGAAAAAAACAUCUCAUUUGAAAGCUGUUUUUAUAUUUUCUUAGAAAUAAAUUUUCAAAUAGCAUUAGAAGUCAGCUCAAAGGUUUAUUGAUCAAAUACUGGAAAUCAGAAAUAGUCUACAGUAUGAAUGAAUACUGUAGACAUUCACUCUUUGGGACACACUGCCCUGUAUGAUUUAAAUGUUUCCCUGCUUUUACGCACCUCAUGCAGAUGAUUGGUUUUCAGCAAAAAUCUGUUAAGCAGCCAUCAAUUGAAAUCGGGUGUGCUGAAGCAGGGACACAUCUAAAACAUGUAGUGUGCCUUGAGGACUAGGGCUGGGAAACACUGCUCAAGAUUAUUCCAACCUGCAGUAAAUUGUGUUCCAACACUUGAAGGCAUCCACAUACUUCUCAGGAGUGGUGGCUGAAUACCACCGGAAAUAAAUAAAUAAACAUAUACUGUAUAUAUAUAUAUAUAUAUAUAUAUAUAUAUAUAUAUAUAAUAUUGAAUAAAAAAUCUUAAAUCCAGGAGAUUACCAUUGCUUUAUUUGCAGAGCUUCUGCAAUUGGUACAUAAAGAUUCAUAGAAUUUAGAAACAGAUGUAGAAAUCUGAUGAAAAGCUUUUGCUGAAAUAUCUCAGCAUGGCAUUGACCUACAUUUCUGCCUCUGAAGUCUGCAUGCUGAGGAGGUUAAAAAUGGAGCAUCUUGCUUUGCUGCAUAUUUCCACCAUCUCAGUGGUUUAACAUCUGCAAAAUCCUCAUUAUAACUUUUUUUAAUGGAACCUAAUAAAAGAUGCAAGCUGAAAUAAAAAAAACAUAAAAAGUGAAAUAAUGUGUACUCAUUAUUAUUAAAUGUCAUUUUCUUCUGAUAUUGCUCGUAAGAGAAUGUUUUUUUUAAUUAGCCUUAACUUUUCUUUGAAUAAAAUAAGAUUUUCUGCUCCUCUUAAGUUCAAAGUCAAAUGUCAAAGGUCUAUUACCAGACAACAUACAGUAGUGCUCAAUGUAAUGCUAUUUAUAUACUUUUUUUUCUGAUGGGAUGAAGAAAAAAAACCUGCACCAAAUGGCUUUUACUGAAUUAAAGUCAAUUUGAAAAAAACAAAAGGAUUAGAAACAGAUUUUUUUCUGAAAUUGUUAAGUUUUUUGUUAACUUGUUCACUCACUGAGGAUCUAAUUUAUUUAGUUAGAAAUAAGUUAGAAUGAAUGAAUG